rnacentral:rRNA from 1 species
CCUACGGGGGGCUGCAGUGGGGAAUAUUGCACAAUGGGCGCAAGCCUGAUGCAGCCAUGCCGCGUGUGUGAAGAAGGCCUUCGGGUUGUAAAGCACUUUCAGCGGGGAGGAAGGCGGUGAGGUUAAUAACCUCAUCGAUUGACGUUACCCGCAGAAGAAGCACCGGCUAACUCCGUGCCAGCAGCCGCGGUAAUACGGAGGGUGCAAGCGUUAAUCGGAAUUACUGGGCGUAAAGCGCACGCAGGCGGUCUGUCAAGUCGGAUGUGAAAUCCCCGGGCUCAACCUGGGGACUGCAUUCGAAACUGGCAGGCUAGAGUCUUGUAGAGGGAGGUAGAAUUCCAGGUGUAGCGGUGAAAUGCGUAGAGAUCUGGAGGAAUACCGGUGGCGAAGGCGGCCCCCUGGACAAAGACUGACGCUCAGGUGCGAAAGCGUGGAGAGCAAACAGGAUUAGAUACCCUGGUAGUC